UGAACUUAGCUGCCUGACAGUGCAAAGCUCUUUGCUUCUAUAACAGCUACUAUAAGAUUGUCACAGCUGUUCCCCAAGCCAUGGCUUACCUGGCUUACCGGUUAGGCCACAUGUUACUGCUUAGAAGAAUAAUCCAGGAAUAUUCAGCAGAACAAGCUGAGAAAAGCAGCACCACUGAGCUGCCAGCUACAGAGGGUACUGAGUAAGAGGAAAAAAAAGACAAGCAGAUGGAAUGAAUAGAUACUGGUCACCAUGACUAGACCCAGGAACAGCUUUGGGCCCAGGAAAUGGGUGUUUUUCAGCAUCUGAAGCAGAACUGCAGCCUGAGGGUUGUCUGCCAAGCCUCUGUCUCACCAUCUGUGAGACUGAAGAUGCAGAAAUGCAUGAUACAGGUUUUUGUCUGCCGCCUUUAUCUAGACAUUGGGAACUAUUUAUACUUCUCGCUUCCAUUAAUCUUUUCCCACUUCUGUGUUACAACAAGCAGAAAUAGCUUGUUGUAGGGAACCAUAUGUGUCAAAGAUUCUCACAAGAGCAAGCUGUAACCCAUCGUCGUGGCUCAUUUUUUGCACUGAUGUCUAGCAAAGCAAAUUCAGUCCCUUCGGCUCCUAUGACUACUGAGCAAUGCGCCCUCUUCCCUGGCCAAGUUCUGCAGCCCAGUCAUCACCUCUUCUGCUCUGAAACAUCUGCUUCUGCCACCACUCUGAUACUGGUACAAAUGUUCAUUCUUCAGUCUUCCAGCAAUUAUCUGAGCACUUUUUCUCAUGCUACCAUUUCUGUAAAGAAGGAGCUCCCUGGGAACAACCACCAAGCCACUAAAUCUGUCUUCAUGACACUUUACUAUCUGCAGAUGGUGUGUGACAGACUCUACUUUUCCAAAUGAGCAUAUAAUCUUUGGGAAUUUUUUUUUUUUUGACUGCAUCUAUGCACUAUAUUCAUGAUACCCCCACUAUGAACAGAAUAUAGAUUUAACAUUUUAUCUUAUCUUAAGGACUGAAAUUCACAAUCAACCAUUAAGUAUAAAUAAUAUAAGAAUACUUGCUUUGAUACUGGUCAAAUAACAGCUUCAAAGGGCACUGGUAUUGAGGGAAAGAUUCCUGUGGGCAUCACGCAAGGUCAGUAGAUUCUAGAUCCAAGUCAUGGUCUAAAUUAGCACUUUUUUUUUUUUAACACAUGAAUUUAGAUUGAUAAUAUUUAUACGUCACUCAUUUGCCACUGCAAAGCUGCCUGCAUAACAACAGGACAACACUUUUGUCACCAAGCAGUGAUUGUAUCUUCUAAAUCUUGUCAGUGACUUCAGAGCCUGCAGCUGGAUGUUUAAAGGUUCCAAGCCAGUUAGCGACUGAUGCAGCUGCUGUUUGCACUGAAUUUUGAAAAGAACAUGAUUAAUUCAGUCCAGGGCUGCAAUGAAGGUUAGUAACACUGUAGAUGGAAAUACCUGAAUUAUUUUAAAACUGCGGUUGUAGUCUCUGUAUUUUUCAAGAAGGUUUCCAUCUAGUGAGGGUAAUCAAGCUCAGAGGUUUGAUUCCCCUCUCUCCUACCAGGAGUGAUACACAGUGUAAUGUAUGAAUACAAAUGUAGCUGAAGAUACAAACUGGUCCAACUGCUUAUUCAGAUUUGUCAAGCACCAAGGAGACAGAUUAAAUUCUCUCUAUCACUAACAGCAAGGCUGAUAGGAGAAACUCAACCAAAAGAAACAUAAGACCAAGACAUAGUUUUUAAAUCCUAUUCUUUGCUAAUUUCAAUUCACUAAGCUAGAAAUUCUUUAGGGGGAAUCUAGAGCACUAAGUCAAGGAUGCAAAUUUUCAGAUUUAGGCCUUUAUAUGUGGAAAUGGGAGAGUGGAACAAGCUUCUGUCAAGACCCACAGCUGAUGUAGGUUAUAUUAGCACUUGUAGAUGCAUAAAUGUUAACAGAUUACUAAAUCACAUCUCUAAAUAUUGGCUGAUGGUGGUAUGUUGAUAGGCCACAUUUAUACUAGUCCAAAUCUAUCUAUUUAUGUGAAGCUGUGCAUACCUAAAAACAAACAAACAAACAAACAAACAAAAAAACAACCUGUAAGCAUUUCAUCUAGAAGCUCUUGAUCACCCAGUGGAGACUGACCACAUGCACCAGUACCCUGCUUGGUUCCCAUUUAGAGUUCCUACGGUGAAGAAGAGAAAGGAGAUCUGCAGUGUAUCACAGGAGUCCCCUUACAAGGAAGGUUAUCUGUUUAGGAGAGCUAGAGGAGAAAGUGAAGGGAAUUCCUUAAAUGUUGCAUCUUCACUAUCUGAAGAGCAGCUAACAGAUUCAGUUCUCUUGCUACUCUUUCUGGAAAUAAAGUUAAAAAUGAGAGGUGAUGGCCUUCAGUUGUGCCAGGGGAUGUUCAGGUUGGUUAUUAGGAAAAUAUUCUCAGAAAGAGUGGUGGUGCAGUGGCACAGGCUGCCCAGGGAGGUGGGGGAGUCGCUAUCCCUGGAGGUAUUCAAGAACCAUGGAGAUAUGGCACUGAGGGAUGCGGUCAGUGGGUGUAGUGGGGGUGGGCUGAUAGUAGGACUAGAUGAUUUUAGAGGUCUUUUCUUUAAAGAUACUAUGAGUCUAUGACACUGUGAUUUUCAUAAAAUGCACAGUUCUAGUUAUGGAAGAAGCAGAUAUAGUGUAUCUGACAGGUGGUGACAUUUAUCUUUCACAGUAAAUAAUCACCUGUAGUACAAGUAGAGGUAUCUGUAAUAAUACUUUACAAACAAGUUCUAGAGACAAGUUCUAACUGUUUGAAUUCACAUACUGUUUUUCAUCCAGGGACUGCAAAAUACUUUAUCACUGUGAUGGAUAUCAUUUUCCAAGGCAGAAACUAUUGGACAGAAUAUUCAAGACCUCAGCUUAUAGUUAUACAGACAGGCGGUAGUAGAAUUGGGAAUAAACUCCAUCUCUCAGUUUAGAGUUGGUUUUUUGGGGGGGUUGCAGACAUCCCUACAAUAGGAAGGAAAAGAGGUUCACAAGUUUAUGCGCUGAUUACACAUUGUGUCAUCAAAUACUUUAAAAGCCCACAUGUGUGAUAGCUGGCAGAAAUGCUGGCUGAAGUACAGACUCUGAAGUGGUCAUACCAGGCCUGCUCAGAUAAGUCAUAUUCCUAUUCCAUGAAAUUAGCACGCUUAUGAGUUAUGCACUUUUGUUUGUCAGCAUUUUUCCUUAGCAUGCAUGUUCCAGAUUUCCACUACAUCAUUCAGAGGUUGGCAGGAAAGAAAAUUAAACUCUUGUGGUUGUUUUCACCACCAUACAACUUGCAAAGUCAUUUUUCAUCAAAUUUAACAGGUUAUCUGGGAAAAGACUAAUAAAUGGUGAGUGUUGCCUUUGACUUUCCCUUAGCAGAACUCAUUGUUACCUAAUUUUUGCAACAGAUUUCCUACCUCAUUUAAAACUUCAGCUAGAAGCAUUUUCCUGUUACAUAUUGCAAACAGACAUAUACAGCGACUCAAAAGCUUGGAUCGGGUUGUGCAGUCAAUAUAGCUUUUGGCAAAAGACUGGGAAGACUUCUUGCUGAAAGCUCAGAAUGAUAAAAAUAGGUCCCGAUUUUACAGUCACUGCGACAAACUGGUUUCAAAAAGCUUCACAACAGCACAAAAGGAACAAACUGGCAAAAGGGAAACGUGCUAGAUAGAUAUAUUUUUUCCCAGCAAGACUUGGGUUGACCACCUUUUGAGGCUUUCAGUGAGCUUAUAUCACUGCAUAUGGCAUGCACUGCACAAUGGAAACCAAGAAGUCAGCUUAGCAAGCAGCCAUUCUUUUCCAAAGAUUUUCUGUGAGCUCAACACAUUUAAUUCACAAUCACUUACAGAGCUUAUACAACCCCAUAAAAUAACCUACUCUCCUGAAUCAUCUCUUACCUACCAGAUAUAAUUUUCAUUAUCUUAUUUUUGUCACUUGAUCUCAUUUUUCUUGGGGUUCUAAAGGAUUUAACAACGAAAGAUAAGAAUGAGAUUAUCAGCACAAAAAUAGACAAUAAUUAAAUGUCAGUCAUGUCUGUGACAGAACAAAUGCAAUUCUGUAUCUCACUACUUUUGUUGCUGCCUGGUGCAAUACUCAUUAAAUAUUUUUACC
ensembl:lncRNA